GUGCCAGCCGCCGCGGUAAUACGUAGGUGGCAAGCGUUAUCCGGAAUUAUUGGGCGUAAAGCGCGCGUAGGCGGUUUUUUAAGUCUGAUGUGAAAGCCCACGGCUCAACCGUGGAGGGUCAUUGGAAACUGGAAAACUUGAGUGCAGAAGAGGAAAGUGGAAUUCCAUGUGUAGCGGUGAAAUGCGCAGAGAUAUGGAGGAACACCAGUGGCGAAGGCGACUUUCUGGUCUGUAACUGACGCUGAUGU
rnacentral:rRNA from 1 species